UACGUAGGCAGCAAGCGUUGUUCGGAGUUACUGGGCGUAAAGGGUGUGUAGGCGGUCUUCUAAGUCUGGUGUGAAAUCUCCCGGCUCAACUGGGAGGGUGCGCCGAAACUGGAAGGCUAGAGUGCGGGAUGGGAGAGUGGAAUUCCUGGUGUAGCGGUGAAAUGCGUAGACUAUCAGGAGGAACAAGCCUGUGGUGUAGACGGCUCUCUGGACCGCAACUGACGCUGAGACACGAAAGCGUGGGUAGCAAACAGG
rnacentral:rRNA from 1 species